rnacentral:rRNA from 1 species
GACGAACGCUGGCGGCGUGCUUAACACAUGCAAGUCGAACGAUGAAGCCAGCUUGCUGCUGGUUUAGUGUCGAACGGGUGAGUAACACGUGGGUGAUCUUCCCCAACCUUUGGGAUAAGCCUGGGAAACUGGAUCUAAUACCGAAUCUGACCGAUACUCGCAUGGGCGUUGGUGGAAAGCUCCGGCGGUUUGUGAUGGUCCCGCGGCCUAUCAGCUUGUUGGUGGGGUAAUGGCCGACGAAGGCGGCGACGGGUAGCCGGCCUGGGAGGGCGACCGGCGACAAGGGGACUGCGGGACGGCGCAGACGCCUAUGGGAGGCAGUGGUGGGGAGUAUUGCACAACGGGCGCGAGCCUGAUGCAGAGACGCCGCGUGCGGGAUGACGGGUUUCGGGUGGUAAACAUCUUUCUCCAGGGACGAAGCGAAAGUGACGGUACCUGGAGAAGAAGCACCGGCCAACUACGUG